rnacentral:lncRNA from 1 species
UCGGAGAUCCGCGGCAAUAAUAUCAUUCAUAAAUAUGGUGCACUCUAAACAAAUCUAGGCCAAACCAUGAAGAUCAUAGAGGCAAUAGGGGUGAGUGAGAUCAUGGGUUCUUCUUGGAGUUAUGUAAAUCAAGCAGUCGGAACACUUCUAAGUCCUUGAUCAAAACACAAAGGUAAUUGUUAACAUGCCUAGAUCUUGAGAAUGUCUCAAAGCAAACCAGCACUUGCAUCACUAAACAAGUCAUUAUCC